rnacentral:lncRNA from 1 species
GGGGCCCAUAUUCAGGGGCUAACUCUGCCAGCUGUGUGGUGAGAUGGAGCUGCCACCGCUUGAUCUGCUCAUCUGUAAUGAGGGAGUCUUAGAAGCUUCGCUCACCACAGUGAACUGUUGUAGGACUUAAAGGGAAGUGUCUACAAGGCACGCUGGGAACUGAAAAGGCCUUUCUGUAGAAUGAAACAACAUUUUCAAAACUCAUGAUUUAAGCCACAUUUCAGUUCUUGGCAGAUGAAUUUGACGCUCUAUUUUUAAAGUUUGAAGAGACAGGAGACAUGCUGGGUGAACUUCAUCAGCAUCUCCCGCCAGAUGCGGUCUGCCACACAAGCCAGCCAAAGAGGCCAUGCAGUGGGCCAAUUAAACAGCAGUCGACUGAAUAAAUGAGAAAUCACUGUCUGAUGGGAGCAUGGAGGAGGAGGAGGAGGAGGAGGAGGAGGAGGAGGAGGAGGAGGCAACCAGAAGAGGGAGCAGUUACAUCAACUCAUACUCAUGCUCCUGAGAAAGCCCUUGGGCUCAUAGAAGGAACAGACCAACAGAUUCAUGUGCCGGACGCUUGGGAUGAAGCCACAAAUCCUGUAUGUUUCUCUAUUUCAUAGAAGAAGCUUUUCCAUUACAAAGAGGCUUGCUGUCAAAGCAAUAUGACCACCUAGCUGGCUAUUCAUUCUGCCAAUCUGACUUCCUUGCCGUGAUGUGAUAAAUCCUCAUGAAUUGCA